AAUUCUCAACCCUUCUUACUUUGUUGUUAAGGAUGGGAUUGGAUAGUGGAGGCUUGCCGGAUGUUCAGCGUUCAGCUCCUCUGAAAUGCAUUAGCGGUACAACCAUUUACUUGGGCUUACGCUAAGCUGUGAUAAUAUCUAAGCUAGCUGGUUCAGAGUGUUGGCAGAGUUCGGGCUUUUGAAGGGUUUUGCCUCGCGGCUCCCUUCGCGUUCUCUCUUCGGAGGGAUACCUAUGCGACUCUGUGAAAAAGUGUUGUUGCGGCUUCCAACCGUCUCUUGAAACUGGGACAAACGUUUUAAACUGAUU
rnacentral:misc_RNA from 1 species